UUCGCUUCUCUUGGGCAGUGAGCGACUUCCAAGUUGCAGAAGCCCACUAGCAACUCACGAAUCUUGUCCAGAUACGCACGUUCCUCCCAAUCAAACUGAUCUGUGGUUGAGCUGAAGACUGCACUUAUCAGUUCCAAACAGUCAGACUCGAGGACAGACGACUGUCCUCUUCGUGCGGAGACAUGUACUAGGGUUUGAAGAACGGCGAUGGCCUCCGCCUGGAUUGUUGCCUAUGAUGCUGGAACCGUGCGAGCGAACUCAUCCACCAGAACUCCAUUGGCAUCUCGGCACACACAUGCAACCCCUCCUUCCAUUCUUCCUUCCAUGCAAGAGCCAUCGACGUUGAGCUUGAGGGUUCCCGGAUUUGGGGGUUCCCAGAUCUGAGGGCUAGACCAUACGGCCAUUGUCCAAGGGCAGAGCAGAAGCAAAUGAUCGACGGUUUCUGGGGCUUGAUGACAAAUGGCACAGGUCGGUUCAGGUUGUCGCAAGGAAGCCCAGCAGAGAAAGGAGAGAAGAUACUACAUUAGGGUAAGAAACCCUAGGCGCAAGAAUCAAGCGGAGCAAUACUUGUGUGUUAUCAGAGACGAGAUGAAACAGGAUGCUGGAAAGAGGUUUAGGUUUUCAAGGCAUUGUUAGGGUUUCGAGGAAAACUACCACCAAAGGGGUAGAGAGCAGCUCUUCCUAGCGAGAGAGAAAAGGGGCAUUCGACCCCUGUGAAACUUUGUUAACUUAUAUUCAUUUAGGUUGGAUGAUUUGUUUAUGUAAUUUUUUUAUUGACGUAAAGUUUACGUAUAAGUACUCUUAAUAAUGAUACUAUUCUAA